rnacentral:snoRNA from 1 species
ACUCAGGGUGGGGGCUGGGUUCAAUUUGUUGCUAUACUACAGAUUUCCUGUGUGACCCUGGGCAAGUCACUUAGUCUUUCUGUGCCUCAGUGCCCCAUCUGUAAAAUGAGAAUAGCACUGCCCUAUCUUAUAGAUGUGUAGUGCAAAU